rnacentral:rRNA from 1 species
GACGAACGCUGGCGGCGUGCCUAAUACAUGCAAGUCGAGCGAAUGGAGGAGAGCUUGCUCUCUGAAGUUAGCGGCGGACGGGUGAGUAACACGUGGGCAACCUGCCUAUAAGACUGGGAUAACUUCGGGAAACCGGAGCUAAUACCGGAUAGAUUCUUUCCUCUCAUGAGGGAAGAAGGAAAGAUGGUUUCGGCUAUCACUUAUAGAUGGGCCCGCGGCGCAUUAGCUAGUUGGUAAGGUAACGGCUUACCAAGGCAACGAUGCGUAGCCGACCUGAGAGGGUGAUCGGCCACACUGGGACUGAGACACGGCCCAGACUCCUACGGGUGGCAG